rnacentral:lncRNA from 1 species
GCAGCUUGUGUUGCCGUGUUUGUGUUCUGACCGAGGCCAGAUUAAAGGAGCAGCACAAUCAAACCCUUCAAAGCUGCACAUUGAACUGCUCAGCUAAUUAAUUAGCCUUUGGACAGUGCUUUACAUGGAAGUCUAAAGAUCUUGGAAGACGCUAAUCAUCUUAAAAUUCUAGAAAGGGAGGAAGGCCAAGGGCAAUUAUUCUCAGCUAGAGCAGAGCAAUGAAAUAAGGUAAGUAAAACUUACAAAAGCCAGUUUUCUUGAUUUAUUUUUUAUUUUACUCC